CGCCAUAUCACGUUGAAACACCGGAUCUCGUGCGAUCACCGAAGUUAAGCAACAUCGGACAUGGUCAGUACCUAGAUAGGUAACCGCUCUGGAAUACCAGGUGCU